rnacentral:lncRNA from 1 species
AAAGCCUGGAUCUCUUCAGUAAAGUGUUUUCUGAACUCUAAUAUAUGCUCAGUGUUGACACGGGCUUAUUCACAGAAGAGGAUGACCUUUGCACAGCUCAAUGGUAAGUGUGUGUGUGAUGAGUUUUAGUAUCUUCUGUUCAGUGCACCUACCUGACUGUAGGUUUGAUCUGACCAAAACAAAGUAUUAGGCUUUGUCUCGAAGCACUUCUGCUGGAGUGUUUGAUACUGUGCACACAGGAAGUGUAUACACAUUUACAUGAACGCUCCAGUAUAUCAGUCAAACAAGAAAUGUGCAUUGCGUUGGUAUGAACCCUUUGCUGGAUUUCAGAAACUUAUUUUGCCUGAAUUUAGUAUUCUAAAGGUCAAAAAACAUCCCCCAGCAAACUCUUCAUUCUUCAUUAACGAGUGUUAUGGUCAGUACCAUUUCUCUGUGCAUUUUGUUAUGUAGAAUUAUCAUGGUUGUGCCUUGAAACGUUUGGAAUAUGUAACUGCUGGCAGAGGAGGGAAAUCUGAAGUGUCAUUCAAGUCCCAGAAUAUAGGCAGAUGCAUUCCAUUUUGGGGACAGGAAUUUUGAAGUGUGUGGGGGACCUGCUAUGACUCUAUCCUCUUUCGUCCCUUUUUUCACGAUCUUCAGCAGUAUAGAUUCCCAUCUACUUCCCAGUUUUUUAAGCUUGAGAAGCUGCAGAAGUACUUUAGAAAUCACUGGUGUGUGAAAAUUGUUCUUGCGUUCUGGCAUCCUUUGGUUUUGUGUGUGCCCUCCACAGGCAGGUACUCAGUGUGAGGCUGGAAAUGUUCUUGGUGAUGAAGCUGAGACACACGGGAAUUUACUGAGGGCAGGGGUGAAAAGUGAAUCAGUAUGGAUUUUGUAACAGAGAGGAGACCAACACUGCAGGAGGCAAAACACAGUUCCUGCAGGUGGACAUGCAUGUGGCUUCCUUGUGAGGCUGAAACAUCUGGUACAUCUCGUUCUGUGAGUUGUUGUGGAGCUGCAGGCCUGCCUGGGUGCUGCCAGCUGCCUGAUCUGUAUUCCCAUUUACACCAUGCUUUGUACCCCUUGUCUGCAUGAGGAAGGAGCCUGUCCCUGCAGAUGGGGUGCUACUGUGCUGAACAUCCACAGCUGCGAGCAGAAAGCUUCCUGGACAGGCUGGUAUUCUGAGGGCGACCAGUAUCCGCAGGAUACUGAGUCUGACCAGCUGCUGACGUGUCCAACUCUGGGACAACGCCAGCUGAUGCCAUAGCACCCAAAGAGCUAUGCCCCCUGUGUGCUUGCCCUGCUUUGCAGGGAGAGGUGCACGGCCACUCUGCAUCCCAUGGA